rnacentral:rRNA from 1 species
UUACUACAGAAAAUGACUGAGCGGCGAACGGGUGAGUAACGCGUGAGCAAUCUACCUUAGUUACAGGGAUAGCCCGAGGAAACUCGGAUUAAUACCUGAUAUUCUUUACAUUUCGCAUGAAAUCAAAAGGAAAGGUCAGCCGAACUAAGAUGAGCUCGCGUUCUAUCAGCUAGUUGGUGAGGUAAAAGCUCACCAAGGCAACGACGGAUAGCUGGUCUGAGAGGACGAUCAGCCACACUGGGACUGAGACACGGCCCAGACUCCUACGGGAGGCUGCAGCAGGGAAUAUUGCGCAAUGAGCGGAAGCUUGACGCAGCGACACCGCGUGUGGGAUGACGGAUCUAGGUUUGUAAACCACUUUCAGGAGGGAAGAAAAUGACGGUACCUCCACAAGAAGCCCCGGCCAACUACGUGCCAGCAGCCGCGGUAAUACGUAGGGGGCGAGCGUUGUCCGGAUUUAUUGGGCGUAAAGAGCUCGUAGGCGGUUCAACAAGUCGGUCGUAAAAGUUCAGGGCUCAACCCUGAAAUGUCGAUCGAUACUGUUGUGACUAGGAUACGGUAGAGGUGAGUGGAAUUCCGAGUGUAGCGGUGAAAUGCGUAGAUAUUCGGAGGAACACCAAUUGCGAAGGCAGCUCACUGGGCCGCUAUCGACGCUGAGGAGCGAAAGCUAGGGGAGCAAACAGGAUUAGAUACCCUGGUAGUCCUAGCUGUAAACGAUGGAUACUAGACGUAGGAACUGGAUUGACGGUUUCUGUGUCGUAGCUAACGCGUUAAGUAUCCCGCCUGGGGAGUACGGUCGCAAGACUAAAACUCAAAGGAAUUGACGGGACCCCGCACAAGCGGCGGAGCAUGCGGCUUAAUUCGAUGAUACCCGUAGAACCUUACCUGGACUUGACAUAUAGGGUCUAGCUAUAGAGAUAUAGUGUGCAUUAGCGCCCUAUACAGGUGGUGCAUGGCUGUCGUCAGCUCGUGUCGUGAGACGUUGGGUUAAGUC